CAAGAAAUGGGAAGCUGGAGGUGUCCCACGGUUCUAGUGGAGCAUUUGCCAGGAUUUCUUGGCACAAUUCUGAAGGAUUUGGAUCAAAGCAAGAUUCACAGGUGUACAGAAGCUUGAAGUGAGCAGUCUUCAGAUUAAUGAUGGAGAGGAAAUUUGUAUCAAGCAAACUGUCUGCUCUUCCCUGUUACCUUGAGACCACCCUGCUGGAAUUACCACUGGGCUAUUCUGAUGGAAACUACUUGGACAUCCCUUAAAAAUAAAUGGACCUGGGGUCCUACUACUCACCUCAACUUCUUCCUGCAGACCCUGCAGCAGAAGCAUGAGGGGUGCAGACAGACUUUGUCAGUGACCACGCGCUCCAUGGAGUAGACGGGCUGCAGGCAUGAGGCACACACCUCUUUUAACAUGGGCUGAAGAAGAAGGAGAAACUGCAGUUAAAUAAGUCAGAAUCGUGACCACUUGG